rnacentral:rRNA from 1 species
UAGUCCACGCCGUAAACGAUGGAUACUCGGUGUUUGGAGAAUGAACCCUCUGAGUACUCGAGCUAACGCAUUAAGUAUCCCGCCUGGGGAGUACGGUCGCAAGGCUAAAACUCAAAGGAAUUGACGGGGGGCCCGCACAAGCGGUGGAGUAUGUGGUUUAAUUCGAAGCAACGCGCAGAACCUUACCUACCCUUAACAUCCCGGGACAACCUCAGAGAUGAGGCUUCCUCUUCGGAGACUCGGUGAUAGGUGCUGCAUGGCUGUCGUCAGCUCGUGUCGUAGGAUGUUUGGUUAAGUCCAAUAACGAGCGCAACCCUUAUCUUUAGUUGCCAUCAUUAAGUUGGGGACUCUAAAGAGACUGCCGGUGUUAAACCGGAGGAAGGCGGGGAUGACGUCAAGUCCUCAUGGCCCUUACGGGUAGGGCUACACACGUACUACAAUGGCAGAAACAAACCGCUGCGAGACCGCGAGGUGGAGCAAAUCGGUAAAACACUGUCUCAGUCCGGAUUGGAGUCUGCAAUUCGACUCC